AGAGUUUGAUCCUGGCUCAGGACGAACGCUGGCGGCGUGCCUAAUACAUGCAAGUCGAGCGAGCGGAACUAACAGAUUUACUUCGGUAAUGACGUUAGGAAAGCGAGCGGCGGAUGGGUGAGUAACACGUGGGGAACCUGCCCCAUAGUCUGGGAUACCACUUGGAAACAGGUGCUAAUACCGGAUAAGAAAGCAGAUCGCAUGAUCAGCUUUUAAAAGGCGGCGUAAGCUGUCGCUAUGGGAUGGCCCCGCGGUGCAUUAGCUAGUUGGUAAGGUAAAGGCUUACCAAGGCGAUGAUGCAUAGCCGAGUUGAGAGACUGAUCGGCCACAUUGGGACUGAGACACGGCCCAAACUCCUACGGGAGGCAGCAGUAGGGAAUCUUCCACAAUGGACGCAAGUCUGAUGGAGCAACGCCGCGUGAGUGAAGAAGGCUUUCGGGUCGUAAAACUCUGUUGUUGGAGAAGAAUGGUCGGCAGAGUAACUGUUGUCGGCGUGACGGUAUCCAACCAGAAAGCCACGGCUAACUACGUGCCAGCAGCCGCGGUAAUACGUAGGUGGCAAGCGUUGUCCGGAUUUAUUGGGCGUAAAGCGAGCGCAGGCGGAAGAAUAAGUCUGAUGUGAAAGCCCUCGGCUUAACCGAGGAACUGCAUCGGAAACUGGGAAACUUGAGUGCAGAAGAGGACAGUGGAACUCCAUGUGUAGCGGUGAAAUGCGUAGAUAUAUGGAAGAACACCAGUGGCGAAGGCGGCUGUCUGGUCUGUAACUGACGCUGAGGCUCGAAAGCAUGGGUAGCGAACAGGAUUAGAUACCCUGGUAGUCCAUGCCGUAAACGAUGAGUGCUAAGUGUUGGGAGGUUUCCGCCUCUCAGUGCUGCAGCUAACGCAUUAAGCACUCCGCCUGGGGAGUACGACCGCAAGGUUGAAACUCAAAGGAAUUGACGGGGGCCCGCACAAGCGGUGGAGCAUGUGGUUUAAUUCGAAGCAACGCGAAGAACCUUACCAGGUCUUGACAUCUAGUGCCAUUUGUAGAGAUACAAAGUUCCCUUCGGGGACGCUAAGACAGGUGGUGCAUGGCUGUCGUCAGCUCGUGUCGUGAGAUGUUGGGUUAAGUCCCGCAACGAGCGCAACCCUUAUGACUAGUUGCCAGCAUUUAGUUGGGCACUCUAGUAAGACUGCCGGUGACAAACCGGAGGAAGGUGGGGAUGACGUCAAAUCAUCAUGCCCCUUAUGACCUGGGCUACACACGUGCUACAAUGGAUGGUACAACGAGUUGCGAGACCGCGAGGUCAAGCUAAUCUCUUAAAGCCAUUCUCAGUUCGGACUGUAGGCUGCAACUCGCCUACACGAAGUCGGAAUCGCUAGUAAUCGCGGAUCAGCACGCCGCGGUGAAUACGUUCCCGGGCCUUGUACACACCGCCCGUCACACCAUGAGAGUUUGUAACACCCGAAGCCGGUGGCGUAACCCUUUUAGGGAGCGAGCCGUCUAAGGUGGGACAAAUGAUUAGGGUGAAGUCGUAACAAGGUAGCCGUAGGAGAACCUGCGGCUG
rnacentral:rRNA from 1 species